GAUGAACGCUGGCGGCGUGCCUAAUACAUGUAAGUCGAGCGAACAGACGAGGAGCUUGCUCCUCUGACGUUAGCGGCGGACGGGUGAGUAACACGUGGAUAACCUACCUAUAAGACUGGGAUAACUUCGGGAAACCGGAGCUAAUACCGGAUAAUAUAUUUAACCGCAUGGUUCAAUAGUGAAAGACGGUUUUGCUGUCACUUAUAGAUGGAUCCGCGCCGCAUUAGCUAGUUGGUAAGGUAACGGCUUACCAAGGCAACGAUGCGUAGCCGACCUGAGAGGGUGAUCGGCCACACUGGAACUGAGACACGGUCCAGACUCCUACGGGAGGCAGCAGUAGGGAAUCUUCCGCAAUGGGCGAAAGCCUGACGGAGCAACGCCGCGUGAGUGAUGAAGGUCUUCGGAUCGUAAAACUCUGUUAUUAGGGAAGAACAAAUGUGUAAGUAACUAUGCACGUCUUGACGGUACCUAAUCAGAAAGCCACGGCUAACUACGUG
rnacentral:rRNA from 1 species